UAGCCUCAGAUGUUAUUUUAAAUGACAUGACUAGCAAGUUACAGAAACCAAAUGUGGCUUUAGUUCAUCAAAUUCCUUUUACUACCGAUAGUCCUGGGUUUGGCUCAACUGUUGAAAAGAUUUACUUUGGCUCUGCAAUGGCCAGGUUUUAUAUAGCCUUCAACAUGCUCGGCCUGUGCUGUGUGACCGGCAUGUCUUACAUUUUUAAGAAGACAUCACUUGAUCAGGUCAAUGGGUUAGCCUGGUAUGGACGCUAUCUGGCUGAAGAUUUUUUUUAACUAAUGCUCUUCAUGAAAGAGGCAAAUUAGUUAUGUCAGCCAUUCCUGCCAAGCAAAAUGUUGGACAAACAACUCUGUGUGGAUUUAUUGAUCGUAUGGUUAGGUGGGUGAGGCUGAGGUUAAACAUGAUGACUAUUGUGACACUAUUUUUAGAGCCUUUAUG
rnacentral:sRNA from 1 species